rnacentral:tRNA from 1 species
GGAGGGGAAGCCUAGUGGAAAGGGUCCGGGCUUGGGAGCCAGAGGUCACGGGUUCUAAUCCCGGCUCCGCCG